rnacentral:rRNA from 1 species
AUGUUUUCACCGCCGCCCAACCCGUCUCUUCCGCUGCCAGUCACCUCGUCGCCUUCGGCGACCAUCACGACCGUCGCCCCGCUCCUGCCCGCGCCGGGAUUCUCUGUCGCGCCAGUCCCCUCCGUCCUCACCCCGGAGGUGUCCGGGGCACUGCGGGACCUAACCCAGGCGGUCCAGGAGAUCCGCCUGUUCUUGUCCGGGUCCUACGGGCCACACCCGGCUGCGCCGCCCAUCGCCGCCACCGCGCCGCUGUGGCUGCCGUGGCAGCCGCUGCCCCAGGCGGCCUCCGCUGCACUCGCCGGGCGGCUGCAGCAGCUGCCAUCCACCGCCCCGCCCUGGCUGCAGUGGCCGCNNNNNNGACCGACGCUCCGCCUCCCCGCCGCGCUCGCCGGGCCGCUGCAGCUGCCAUCCACCGCCCCGCGUUGGCUACAGUGGCAGGCGCCGCUCCUGGCGGCCUCCGCCGCGCCUGGCGCUCCGCUGCAGCAGCCAUCGCCGGUCAGCUCCGGCCCUACAUGGACCGCGCCGGCGGGAGCCCCGAUCCACCAGAUCAAGUUCCCUCUGUCGCCAUUACCGCUUCCCCAGGGCGUCCCCAUCCAGCAGAUCAAGUUCCCGCCGUCGCCGUCACCACUUCUGGCUUGGAUCACUACCCGCCACGUGUCGGCGGCGGUGAGGCUGCAGGCUGCUGCGCGCGGCCUCCUAGCGCGUCGGCGUGUGCGGGAGAUGCGUGGUCUGUAG